UGCAGUCGAGCGAGGCCCUCCUUCGGGGGGUGCCCUAGCGGCGAACGGGUGAGUAACACGUGGGCAACCUGCCCUCAGCUCUGGGAUAACUCCAAGAAAUUGGUGCUAAUACCGGAUGUGACCGCUGACCGCAUGGUCUGGUGGUGGAAAGAUUCAUCGGCUGAGGAUGGGCCCGCGGCCUAUCAGCUUGUUGGUGGGGUCACGGCCCACCAAGGCGACGACGGGUAGCCGGCCUGAGAGGGUGACCGGCCACACUGGGACUGAGACACGGCCCAGACUCCUACGGGAGGCAGCAGUGGGGAAUAUUGCGCAAUGGGCGAAAGCCUGACGCAGCGACGCCGCGUGAGGGAUGACGGCCUUCGGGUUGUAAACCUCUUUCAGUAGGGACGAAGCGAAAGUGACGGUACCUACAGAAGAAGCACCGGCCNAACUACGUGCCAGCAGCCGCGGUAAUACGUAGGGUGCAAGCGUUGUCCGGAAUUAUUGGGCGUAAAGAGCUCGUAGGCGGUCUGUCGCGUCGGCUGUGAAAACCCGAGGCUCAACCUCGGGCCUGCAGUCGAUACGGGCAAACUAGAGUACUGCAGGGGAGACUGGAAUUCCUGGUGUAGCGGUGAAAUGCGCAGAUAUCAGGAGGAACACCGGUGGCGAAGGCGGGUCUCUGGGCAGUAACUGACGCUGAGGAGCGAAAGCGUGGGGAGCGAACAGGAUUAGAUACCCUGGUAGUCCACGCCGUAAACGUUGGGCGCUAGGUGUGGGGGCCAUUCCACGGUCUCCGUGCCGCAGCUAACGCAUUAAGCGCCCCGCCUGGGGAGUACGGCCGCAAGGCUAAAACUCAAAGGAAUUGACGGGGGCCCGCACAAGCGGCGGAGCAUGUUGCUUAAUUCGAUGCAACGCGAAGAANCCUUACCUAGGCUUGACAUGCACGGAAAUCUGUCAGAGAUGGCAGGUCCUUUAAAGGGUCGUGCACAGGUGGUGCAUGGUUGUCGUCAGCUCGUGUCGUGAGAUGUUGGGUUAAGUCCCGCAACGAGCGCAACCCUCGUUCUAUGUUGCCAGCACGUGAUGGUGGGGACUCAUAGGAGACUGCCGGGGUCAACUCGGAGGAAGGUGGGGAUGACGUCAAAUCAUCAUGCCCCUUAUGUCUAGGGCUGCAAACAUGCUACAAUGGCCGGUACAAAGGGCUGCGAUACCGCGAGGUGGAGCGAAUCCCAAAAAGCCGGUCUCAGUUCGGAUUGGGGUCUGCAACUCGACCCCAUGAAGUUGGAGUCGCUAGUAAUCGCAGAUCAGCAACGCUGCGGUGAAUACGUUCCCGGGCCUUGUACACACCGCCCGUCACGUCACGAAAGUCGGUAACGCCCGAAGCCGGUGGCCCAACCCCUUGNNGNAGGGAGCCGNNG
rnacentral:rRNA from 1 species